rnacentral:RNase_P_RNA from 1 species
UGAGGGCGCCGCCCUGAUACCCGAACGGAGUGAGUGGUUCAGGGAGGAAAGUCCGAGCACCAUAAAUCCGCCAAAGGCGGACAAGCAAGGAUAAUUGGUAACGCCAACCGGCUCGCCAGUGAUGGCUGGGUCAGGACAAGUGCAACAGAGAAUAUUCCUUUUUAGUCCAGCAAUGGACUAAAAUAAGGGUGAAAAGGUCCGAUAAUUAGCGGACCCGUCAGUCUGGUGACAGACUGAAAGAGGUAAACUCUAUCCGGUGAAAGACCAAAUUGGCCCUGUACCAUAAGGUGCAGGGCGGGUAGGUCGUUUGAGCCUAGGGGCGACUCUAGGCCUAGAUAGAUGAUCAUCGCCCUCUGCCGUAGGCAGAGGAUACAGAACUCGGCUUAUUGUUCAAUUU